rnacentral:rRNA from 1 species
GAUGAACGCUGGCGGCGUGCCUAAUACAUGCAAGUCGAGCGAACGGACGAGAAGCUUGCUUCUCUGAUGUUAGCGGCGGACGGGUGAGUAACACGUGGAUAACCUACCUAUAAGACUGGGAUAACUUCGGGAAACCGGAGCUAAUACCGGAUAAUAUUUUGAACCGCAUGGUUCAAAAGUGAAAGACGGUCUUGCUGUCACUUAUAGAUGGAUCCGCGCUGCAUUAGCUAGUUGGUAAGGUAACGGCUUACCAAGGCAACGAUGCAUAGCCGACCUGAGAGGGUGAUCGGCCACACUGGAACUGAGACACGGUCCAGACUCCUACGGGAGGCAGCAGUAGGGAAUCUUCCGCAAUGGGCGAAAGCCUGACGGAGCAACGCCGCAUGAGUGAUGAAGGUCUUCGGAUCGUAAAACUCUGUUAUUAGGGAAGAACAUAUGUGUAAGUAACUGUGCACAUCUUGACGGUACCUAAUCAGAAAGCCACGGCUAACUACGUG